CAGCCGCCGCGGUAAUACAGAGGGUGCAAGCGUUAAUCGGAAUUACUGGGCGUAAAGCGCGCGUAGGUGGUUUGUUAAGUUGGAUGUGAAAUCCCCGGGCUCAACCUGGGAACUGCAUCCAAAACUGGCAAGCUAGAGUAUGGUAGAGGGUGGUGGAAUUUCCUGUGUAGCGGUGAAAUGCGUAGAUAUAGGAAGGAACACCAGUGGCGAAGGCGACCACCUGGACUGAUACUGACACUGAGGUGCGAAAGCGUGGGGAGCAAACAGGAUUAGAUACCCCCGUAGUCCCUGUCUCUUAUAC
rnacentral:rRNA from 1 species